rnacentral:rRNA from 1 species
GACAGAGGGUGCAAACGUUGUUCGGAAUUACUGGGCGUAAAGCGCGUGUAGGCGGCUAUGCAAGUCGGGCGUGAAAUCCCACGGCUCAACCGUGGAAGUGCACUCGAAACUGCGUAGCUAGAGUCCCGGAGAGGAAGGUGGAAUACUUGGUGUAGAGGUGAAAUUCGUAGAUAUCAAGUGGAACACCGGUGGCGAAGGCGGCCUUCCGGACGGUGACUGACGCUGAGACGCGAAAGCGUGGGGAGCAAACAGG